rnacentral:rRNA from 1 species
GAUGAACGCUGGCGGCGUGCCUAAUACAUGCAAGUCGAGCGAACAGACGAGGAGCUUGCUCCUCUGACGUUAGCGGCGGACGGGUGAGUAACACGUGGAUAACCUACCUAUAAGACUGGGAUAACUUCGGGAAACCGGAGCUAAUACCGGAUAAUAUAUUGAACCGCAUGGUUCAAUAGUGAAAGACGGUUUUGCUGUCACUUAUAGAUGGAUCCGCGCCGCAUUAGCUAGUUGGUAAGGUAACGGCUUACCAAGGCGACGAUGCGUAGCCGACCUGAGAGGGUGAUCGGCCACACUGGAACUGAGACACGGUCCAGACUCCUACGGGAGGCAGCAGUAGGGAAUCUUCCGCAAUGGGCGAAAGCCUGACGGAGCAACGCCGCGUGAGUGAUGAAGGUCUUCGGAUCGUAAAACUCUGUUAUUAGGGAAGAACAUAUGUGUAAGUAACUGUGCACAUCUUGACGGUACCUAAUCAGAAAGCGACGGCUAACUACGUG